rnacentral:rRNA from 1 species
GGGUCAGUAGGCUGGUCGUGCCACCCGUACGUACUGGUCUCACUGAUUCCUCCUUCCUGAAGAACCGUAAUGCCAUUAAUUUGGUGUUGCGGGGAAACAGGACUGUUACUUUGAAAAAAUUAGAGUGUUUAAAGCAAGCUAACGCUUGAAUACAUUAGCAUGGAAUAAUGAAAUAGGACGAUCGAUCCUAUUUUGUUGGCUUCUAGGAUUGACGCA